UGUGCCUCACGGUUGCACGGUCAGGCGGAGGCGGUGCUGGAGGUGUUCCUGCGGGAGCGCGAGGGGCUGGCACAGGUGUUGAAGGCCACUGAGCUGCAGCUGGAGCUGGCGGAGCGGCAGCGGGAGGCAGCAGCGGCCGAGGCAGCAGCGGCCCAGAAGGCGGCAGAGGCGCGGCUGGAGGAGCAGCGGCGCAGCAUGGAGGAGCACAUGCGUCAGAUGGAGCAGCAGCUGAAGGAGGAGCUGCGUGCAUGGCUGGAGGAGCAGCAGCGUGUGCUGGAGCACCAGAAGAAGGAGUAUGAGGCGCUGCUGCAGGAGGGCUUCAAGCAUGAGGCAGCAGCCACGCAAGAGCGGAUCACAGAGCUGGAGAAGGAAAAGAAGAAAAUGAUGCAGCUGUCCCUGCAAUAAAUCUAGUGGCAAUACCGAGGUGUUAUCAUUUUGGAAAAGCAGAGUGCUCCAUUCCAGGAGAGCAAAGGAAGCAGCAGCAGAGGGUGGACUGGCGGGGCUGGAUGUACUUUCUCUUUCAGUUCCUGAGCUGUGAUUACUCCAGUCAAGUCAUAGAAUCAUAGAAUCACAGGAUCAUAUGUGGGUAGUAUUUGAUGGACAGUGGGCGUAUUUAUUGCUCGAGUAAUCCCUGGAGUGUCCUUGGAGGCCUGAGACGAGGAACAGCUGCUGUGUUGCAAGGUUGAACAGCUACGCCUCCAGGUUGUGCUUUACGGGACUGCUAACCACUGUCCAACUGCUAGAAUGCCUAUGUGAUGAUAUCCGCUGUCCAAUUAGCAGUGUUGUAGCGCGCGACGCCUACCUGAUGCUCUGUAAAUGUUGUCGAAUUGCAAUAAAUUUAGCACUACGCGAUAACCA